UACGUAGGCAGCGAGCGUUGUUCGGAGUUACUGGGCGUAAAGCGUGCGUAGGCGGUUGUCUAAGUUUGGUGUGAAAUCUCCUGGCUUAACUGGGAGGGUGCGCCGAAAACUGGGUGACUGGAGUGUCGGAGAGGUAAGCGGAAUUCCUGGUGUAGCGGUGAAAUGCGUAGAGAAUCAGGAGGAACACCUGUGGUGUAGACAGCUUACUGGACGAUAACUGACGCUGAGGCACGAAAGCGUGGGUAGCAAACAG
rnacentral:rRNA from 1 species